CCUACGGGAGGCAGCAGUAGGGAAUCUUCCACAAUGGGCGAAAGCCUGAUGCAGCAACGCCGCGUGGGUGAAGAAGGUUUUCGGAUCGUAAAACCCUUUUGUUAGAGAAGAUAGUGCGUGAGAGUAACGGUUCACGUUUCGACGGUAUCUAGCCAGCAGCCCACGUCUAACUACGUGCCAGCAGCUUCGUCAGUACGAAGGUGGGAAGCGUUAUCCGGAUUGAGUGGGCGUAAAGGGAACGCAGGCGGUCUUGUAAGUCUGAUGUGAAAGCCUUGGGCUUAACCGGAGUAGUGCAUUGGAAACUGGGAGACUUGAGUGCAGGAGAGGAGGGUGGAACUCCAGGUGUAGGGGUGAAAUGCGUAGAGA
rnacentral:rRNA from 1 species